rnacentral:rRNA from 1 species
UAUGGAGGGUGCAAACGUUGCUCGGAAUCAUUGGGUGUAAAGCGCACGUAUGCGGAUUUGUUAGUCAGGGGUGAAAUCCCGAGGCUCAACCUCGGAACUGCCUUUGAUACUGCAAAUCUCGAGUCCGGAAGAGGUGAGUGGAAUUCCUAGUGUAGAGGUGAAAUUCGUAGAUAUUAGGAAGAACACCAGUGGCGAAGGCGGCUCACUGGUCCGGUACUGACGCUGAGGUGCGAAAGCGUGGGGAGCAAACAGG